rnacentral:rRNA from 1 species
GCAGUAGGGAAUAUUGGGCAAUGGACGGAAGUCUGACCCAGCCAUGCCGCGUGCAGGAUGAAGGCGCUCAGCGUUGUAAACUGCUUUUAUCUGGGAAGAACAGCAGUCCUGCGGGAUUGUGUGACGGUACCAGAGGAAUAAGCACCGGCUAACUCCGUGCCAGCAGCCGCGGUAAUACGGAGGGUGCAAGCGUUGUCCGGAUUUAUUGGGUUUAAAGGGUGCGUAGGUGGUAUUGUAAGUCUGGUUUGAAAGCUGGUCGCUUAACGAUCAGAUGUGGCUGGAAACUGCGGUACUUGAAUGGAUUGGCGGUAGCCGGAAUGGGUCAUGUAGCGGUGAAAUGCAUAGAUAUGACCCGGAACACCGAUUGCGAAGGCAGGCUACUACGAUUUGAUUGACACUGAGGCACGAGAGCAUGGGUAGCGAACAGGAUUAGA